AUUAACGAAUAUUUGAAAUUAGUUGUAAACGUAACACCAAUCGUGACAUUAUAAUGAAAUCGACGAAAAUUUUGUUUGCUUUUCUCGUAAUUUUUGUUAUCUUGCAUGGUGUUACCUGUCUCAGUAAGGGCGACAUUACUGCUGAAUCAGUGUUAAUUUUCCACAAGUUUUACAAUGGUACAGGUGAUAUAACAGAAAUAAUCAUUACGGAAGAAGAUAUUAGUGCAAUAAGAGCCGUAGAUGUGAGCGGUCAAAACGGAGAUGCUGUUAUUUCAUCAUAUAGUGCCCGUAACAUAGUGUUAGUUUUCUUCGCUGAGGAUGUCGACAAAGGGUUCAACAUUAGUCUGGAACUUUAUACUAGUAGAAAAAUGGAUGCAGGUAGUUCUGCGGCAAGAAGUUUUUCAGUGUUUUCAACAGUAAUUUCAUUGAUAUUUGUGUUAAGUGUGCUUUAGAAGAAUAUAAUUCUCUAAAUUUGUACAAAUUCAAAA